GCUUACGGCCAUAGCACCCUGUCUGCCCCCGAUCUCGUCUGAUCUCGGAAGCUAAGCAGGGUCGGGCUUGAUUAGUACUUGGAUGGGACACAGCCUGGGAAUAGCAGGUGCUGUAAGCU
rnacentral:rRNA from 1 species